CCUACGGGUGGCAGCAGUGGGGAAUAUUGCACAAUGGGGGAAACCCUGAUGCAGCGACGCCGCGUGAGUGAGGAAGGAUUUCGGAAUGUAAAGCUCUGUCAGCAGGGAAGAAAAGUACGGUACCUAACUAGGAAGCCCCGGCUGACUACGUCCCAGCAGCCGCGGUAAUACGUAGGGGGCGAGCGUGAUCCGGAUUUACUGGGUGGAAAGGGAGCGGAGACUGCUAAUCAAGUCAGAAGUGAAAACCCCGGGGUCAACGUUGGGACUGCUUUUGAAACUGAGUAGCUAGAGUGCAGGAGAGGUAAGCGGAAUUCCUAGUGUAGCGGUGAAAUGCGUAGAUAUUAGGAGGAACAACAGUGGCGAAGGCGGCUUACUGGCCCGUAACUGACGUUGAGGCUCGAAAGCGUGGGGAGCAAACAGGAUUAGAUACCCCGGUAGUC
rnacentral:rRNA from 1 species